GUCUAUGGCCAUACCACCCUGAACAUGCCCAAUCUCGUCUGAUCUCAGAAGCUAAGCAGGGUCGGGCCUGACUAGUACUUGGAUGGGAGAAAAGAUGCAUUUUCU
rnacentral:rRNA from 1 species